rnacentral:misc_RNA from 1 species
CAAUGAGUGUUUUAUGGCACUCUUUAAAAAUCCAUAUCCACCUUGUGUGCAAUGUUUGUUGGGAGAGAGGCAACUCUUUCCCUUCACAAAUAUCAACCUAUAUCUUUAACAACAUUCGUCUGAAUCAUAAACAAGAAUUA